rnacentral:rRNA from 1 species
AUUGAACGCUGGCGGCAUGCCUUACACAUGCAAGUCGAACGGCAGCGGACCUUCGGGUGCCGGCGAGUGGCGAACGGGUGAGUAAUGUAUCGGAACGUACCUUUCAGUGGGGGAUAACGUAGCGAAAGUUACGCUAAUACCGCAUAUUCUGUGAGCAGGAAAGCAGGGGAUCGCAAGACCUUGCGCUGAUUGAGCGGCCGAUAUCAGAUUAGCUAGUUGGUGAGGUAAAGGCUAACCAAGGCGACGAUCUGUAGCGGGUCUGAGAGGAUGAUCCGCCACACUGGAACUGAGACACGGUCCAGACUCCUACGGGAGGCAGCAGUGGGGAAUUUUGGACAAUGGGCGAAAGCCUGAUCCAGCCAUGCCGCGUGCGGGAAGAAGGCCUUCGGGUUGUAAACCGCUUUUGGCAGGAACGAAACGGCGCGGGCGAAUACCUCGCGCUAAUGACGGUACCUGCAGAAUAAGCACCGGCUAACUACGUGCCAGCCGCCGCGGUAACAC